GAGUUUGAUCCUGGCUCAGGACGAACGCUGGCGGCGCGCUUAACACAUGCAAGUCGAGCGAGAACCUGGCCUUCGGGCCUGGGGAAAGCGGCGAACGGGUGAGUAACACGUGGGUAACCCACCCUUGGUACCGGGAUAGCCCGGGGAAACCCGGAUUAAUACCGGAUGGCCCAACAGCUCUUCGGGGCGGUUGGAAAAGGUAGCUUCGGCCUCCGACCAAGGCGGGCCCGCGGCGGAUUAGCUUGUUGGU
rnacentral:rRNA from 1 species